CUACGGGGCGCUGCAGUUAGGAAUAAUCUACAAUGCGCGCAAGCGUGAUAGUUUGAGCCAGAGUGCGUUUCAUUUGAAACGCUUUUGCUGAAUGUAAAAAGUUCGGCGAAUAAGGACUGGGUAAGACGAGUGCCAGCCGCCGCGGUAAUACUCGCGGUCCAAGUCGCAGCCAUUUUUAUUGGGUCUAAAACAUCCGUAGCUUGUUUUGUAAGUUUCUUGUGAAAUCUGAUAUCUUAAGUAUUGGGCGUGCAAGAAAUACUGCAGAGCUAGAGACUGGGAGACGGAAGAAGUACGUUCAAAGUAGCGGUAAAAUGUGUUAAUCUUGAGCGGACUCACAAUAGCGAAGGCAUCUUCCGAGAACAGUUCUGACAGUAAGGGAUGAAGGCCAGGGGCGCAAAACGGAUUAGAUACCCCCGUAGUC
rnacentral:rRNA from 1 species